AUUGAACGCUGGCGGCAGGCUUAACACAUGCAAGUCGAGCGGUAACAGAGAGAAGCUUGCUUCUCUGCUGACGAGCGGCGGACGGGUGAGUAAUGCCUAGGAAUCUGCCUAGUAGUGGGGGAUAACUUGCCGAAAGGUAAGCUAAUACCGCAUACGUCCUACGGGAGAAAGGAGGGGACCUUCGGGCCUUUCGCUAUUAGAUGAGCCUAGGUCGGAUUAGUUAGUUGGUGAGGUAAUGGCUCACCAAGACCGCGAUCCGUAACUGGUCUGAGAGGAUGAUCAGUCACACUGGAACUGAGACACGGCCCAGACUCCUACGGGAGGCAGCAGUGGGGAAUAUUGGACAAUGGGGGGAACCCUGAUCCAGCCAUGCCGCGUGUGUGAAGAAGGUCUUAGGAUUGUAAAGCACUUUAAGUUGGGAGGAAGGGCAGUUAACUAAUAUCUGACUGUUUUGACGUUACCGACAGAAUAAGCACCGGCUAACUUCGUGCCAGCCGCCGCCGUAA
rnacentral:rRNA from 1 species